AUGGGUGAUGGCAGAAGGAAGUUGGACGGAGGGGUAUCACGCGUGGGCAGAACAGGGACAGGUGGAGAGCGGAAAUGGAGCUGCUCGGUGUGGGAGAUUGAGAAGGGUUUCAAUGGAAAUGGAGAGGAAAUGUGUGAGAGCUUAAGGCUUUGUUUGGCAUCAGGUUCUCACAUGCCUUGUUUUUUCAUUCUCCCUUUGAUUCUUCCAAACAAGCCCUUAUCUCAAUUCUCGUUUCUCUUUUUCUUUCUGAUCCCCCGACUUUUUAUCUCUUUCUCUCUUAAAUGA